rnacentral:ncRNA from 1 species
GGGACCACCCGCUAAGCCUAAAUAUUCCCUGGUGACCGGAUAGCGGAUAGUACCGUGAGGGAAUGGUGAAAAGUACCGCGGGAGCGGAGUCGAAAUAGUACCUGAAACCGUGUGCCUACAAGCCGUGGGAGCGUCGGAUGGAAGCUUGCUUCCAUCUCGUGACUGCGUGCCUUUUGAAGAAUGAGCCUAGCGAGUUUGCGGUGUGUUGCGAGGUUAACCCGGGUGGGGAAGCCGUAGCGAAAGCCGAGUCCGAAGUACGGGCGUUUCAGUAGCACGGCUCA